rnacentral:rRNA from 1 species
UUAAGUGACUAAGCGUACACGGUGGAUGCCUGGGCAGUCAGAGGCGAUGAAGGACGUACUAACUUGCGAUAAGCGCAGAUAAGGCAGUAAGAGCCGUUUGAGUCUGCGAUUUCCGAAUGGAAACCGGGGGAACUGAAACAUCUAAGUACCCCGAGGAGAAGAAAUCAACCGAGAUUCCGGUAGUAGCGGCGAGCGAACCUGGAUUAGCCCUUAAGCACUCGGUGAAGUAGGUGAACAAGCUGGAAAGCUUGGCGAUACAGGGUGAUAGCCCCGUAACCGACGCUUCAUCGAGCGUGAAAUCGAGUAGGGCGGGACACGUGAUAUCCUGUCUGAAUAUGGGGGGACCAUCCUCCAAGGCUAAAUACUCCUGACUGACCGAUAGUGAACCAGUACCGUGAGGGAAAGGCGAAAAGAACCCCUGUGAGGGGAGUGAAAUAGAACCUGAAACCGUGUACGUACAAGCAGUAGGAGCACCUUCGUGGUGUGACUGCGUACCUUUUGUAUAAUGGGUCAGCGACUUAUAUUCAGUGGCAAGGUUAACCGUAUAGGGGAGCCGUAGCGAAAGCGAGUCUUAACUGGGCGCUCAGUCUCUGGAUAUAGACCCGAAACCGGGUGAUCUAGCCAUGGGCAGGUUGAAGGUUGAGUAACAUCAACUGGAGGACCGAACCGACUAAUGUUGAAAAAUUAGCGGAUGACUUGUGGCUAGGGGUGAAAGGCCAAUCAAACUCGGAGAUAGCUGGUUCUCCCCGAAAGCUAUUUAGGUAGCGCCUCGGACGAAUACUACUGGGGGUAGAGCACUGUUAAGGCUAGGGGGUCAUCCCGACUUACCAACCCUUUGCAAACUCCGAAUACCAGUAAGUACUAUCCGGGAGACACACGGCGGGUGCUAACGUCCGUCGUGGAGAGGGAAACAACCCAGACCGCCAGCUAAGGUCCCAAAGUAUUGCUAAGUGGGAAACGAUGUGGGAAGGCUCAGACAGCUAGGAUGUUGGCUUAGAAGCAGCCAUCAUUUAAAGAAAGCGUAAUAGCUCACUAGUCGAGUCGGCCUGCGCGGAAGAUGUAACGGGGCUAAGCAAUACACCGAAGCUGCGGCAAUAUCUUUUAGAUAUUGGGUAGGGGAGCGUUCUGUAAGCCGUUGAAGGUGAAUCGUAAGGUUUGCUGGAGGUAUCAGAAGUGCGAAUGCUGACAUGAGUAACGACAAAGGGGGUGAAAAACCUCCUCGCCGGAAGACCAAGGGUUCCUGUCCAACGUUAAUCGGGGCAGGGUGAGUCGACCCCUAAGGUGAGGCCGAAAGGCGUAAUCGAUGGGAAACGGGUUAAUAUUCCCGUACUUCUGACUAUUGCGAUGGGGGGACGGAGAAGGCUAGGUGGGCCAGGCGACGGUUGUCCUGGUUCAAGUGCGUAGGCUUGAGAGUUAGGUAAAUCCGGCUCUCUCUAAGGCUGAGACACGACGUCGAGCUGCUACGGCAGUGAAGUCAUUGAUGCCAUGCUUCCAGGAAAAGCCUCUAAGCUUCAGAUAGUCAGGAAUCGUACCCCAAACCGACACAGGUGGUCGGGUAGAGAAUACCAAGGCGCUUGAGAGAACUCGGGUGAAGGAACUAGGCAAAAUGGUACCGUAACUUCGGGAGAAGGUACGCUCUUGAUGGUGAAGUCCCUCGCGGAUGGAGCUGACGAGAGUCGCAGAUACCAGGUGGCUGCAACUGUUUAUUAAAAACACAGCACUGUGCAAAAUCGCAAGAUGACGUAUACGGUGUGACGCCUGCCCGGUGCCGGAAGGUUAAUUGAUGGGGUUAGCGCAAGCGAAGCUCUUGAUCGAAGCCCCGGUAAACGGCGGCCGUAACUAUAACGGUCCUAAGGUAGCGAAAUUCCUUGUCGGGUAAGUUCCGACCUGCACGAAUGGCGUAAUGAUGGCCACGCUGUCUCCACCCGAGACUCAGUGAAAUUGAAAUCGCUGUGAAGAUGCAGUGUACCCGCGGCUAGACGGAAAGACCCCGUGAACCUUUACUACAGCUUGGCACUGAACAUUGAACCUACAUGUGUAGGAUAGGUGGGAGGCUAUGAAGACGUGACGCCAGUUGCGUUGGAGCCGUCCUUGAAAUACCACCCUUGUAUGUUUGAUGUUCUAACUUAGACCCAUUAUCUGGGUUGAGGACAGUGCCUGGUGGGUAGUUUGACUGGGGCGGUCUCCUCCCAAAGAGUAACGGAGGAGCACGAAGGUGGGCUAAUCACGGUUGGACAUCGUGAGGUUAGUGCAAUGGCAUAAGCCCGCUUAACUGCGAGAAUGACGGUUCGAGCAGGUGCGAAAGCAGGUCAUAGUGAUCCGGUGGUUCUGUAUGGAAGGGCCAUCGCUCAACGGAUAAAAGGUACUCCGGGGAUAACAGGCUGAUACCGCCCAAGAGUUCAUAUCGACGGCGGUGUUUGGCACCUCGAUGUCGGCUCAUCACAUCCUGGGGCUGAAGUCGGUCCCAAGGGUAUGGCUGUUCGCCAUUUAAAGUGGUACGCGAGCUGGGUUUAGAACGUCGUGAGACAGUUCGGUCCCUAUCUGCCGUGGGCGUUGGAAGAUUGAAGGGGGCUGCUCCUAGUACGAGAGGACCGGAGUGGACGAACCUCUGGUGUUCGGGUUGUGUCGCCAGACGCAUUGCCCGGUAGCUAAGUUCGGAAUUGAUAAGCGCUGAAAGCAUCUAAGCGCGAAGCGAGCCCUGAGAUGAGUCUUCCC